rnacentral:antisense_RNA from 1 species
CAGCAUGCUUGUGCUCAAUUGCAGGGUCCUCGUUCUCGAGUGUGCAGAGGGCGGUGAGAGCUCAACUCUCGUCCCCACCUCCCACCCGCAGCUCCCCGGGUGGGUGAGGGAUGCCCUGGACUGGGGAUAGCCAGGUGGGAGUCCGUCGCUGUGUGGCCUGUGGUCUCGGAGUCUGUUCUCCUGGAGUCUCGCAUUUGCACCCCCUUCUUCGCAGUCCCCCUCCCAUAGACUUGCUCUGGGAAGCGCCUCUGCCUCCGACCCUAGCCGGAACCCCUUCGGGGCCAGAGUUUGAAGCCGUGGAUGUGCCUGCCUGGUGGCUUGUCCGAUUUGCACGGUGACUUGAUUACACUCUCUCAUUCAUGGUCACUUCCGAAGCGCUUUAGUGCCUUCCGUCCCUAAACCGCCAACAGCCAGAACGGCUUCUCCCCGCGGUUUGUCACUGAUCCGCAGGGCCCGGAAGGGCCUUCGUCUUACCCGGGAUCCACCUCUCCCCUCAUCUUCCCUGCCUGCCUCUUCAUCCCACCUUCUGUCCUUGGAGAAACCCCCUCCUCCUCGCUGCCUGCCGGGCUUCGGAGUGACUCGGCAGAGACAGAGGCACAGGGGCUGCCCUGCUGCUCACCGGUCCACCCAUCUGCCUGGUCUUCUGGAGCUGAGGACUCGGGAAACCAUGCAAUUGAGGCAAGCCUUGGGCUGCUUUAGAGGCGCUGACAUCCGAGGAGACUUCUCCUGGGAUUGAAGGAGCAAUGUUUGGAGGAAGCGAAAGAAAGGAAAGGACACAGAGCACAGAGCAGCCAGGCAGAGCCAGGAGCUGAGAAGGGCCCAGACCUGAGGCCUCCCAACAACUCUCUUCUUGGAAGGAUCUGGGAUGUUGCUGAAGGAAAAUAAAAAAAUAUGUAAAAAGAUAACCUUUUGUUUUUCCCUCUCCAGGAAAUAGCCAAAGUUAUUUACAUAUCUUGGGGAGAUUUAGAGUAUAAACUCUAAGAUCUUUGGUAUUUAAGUGUCAACAUCGAUUUAUUUAUUUAUUGCUGAGCUGACAGUAACUGACUCAAUAACAAAUCUAAUCAUGUAUUGCACUGGAAAAGAAAUAUUCUUAUUAUGUAUUUUCUCCAAAUAAUGGCCUACCAUUGCAUUUGAAUACCUGCUGUAAAUAUCAAUAAUAUGAAGUAAUU